UGCAGGUAACUCUCUUUUUCUCUUGCUGCUUUUAAGAUUCUCUCCUUAUCUUUAAUCUUGGCUAAUGUAAUUAUAAUGUGCCUUGGUGUGUGCUUCCUUGGGUCCAACUUCUUUGAGAUUCUCUGAGCUUCCUCGACUUCCUGGUAGUCUAUUUCCCUUUCCAGAUUGGGGAAGUUCUUCUUUAUACUUGUGCAAAUAAGUUUUCCAUUUCUUGCUCUUCUUCUUCUCCUUCUGGCACCCCUAUGAUUUGGAUGUUGGAAUAUUUAAAGUUGUCCUGGA